GUCUAAUAACUUACACGCGGAGAUGUAUGUUACUUAAUUUUGUUUUCUGUGCUUCCUUCUGCCACCAUUUCCCCAAGAGUCCAGUUAAAGUCUUCCAAAUGGAACUGGCUUGUGACAGUGGUGCUUAGAGGACAGGAAGAAGCAGGCUUGCACUGAAGUAUCCAGCCUGGACUGAAGUCGUGUGGCAGGAAGAUGGCUGCUGUGGGCGCCAGGAGGAGCUGGGUGGAGUAGCAAGAGUGGAGAAGAAAAAGCACACGGAAGAGGGGAGCACUCCAGUAAAAAGAACAGCUCUCCAGCACCUUACAAAGGGAACUGGCAGUCACAGCAGUGACAUUCUCCACAUGUAGAUCGGAACAUCCAAAUGAGAGCCGAUACAUCAGAUUAAAUUGGGUGAGGCAUCAACAGUAAAAGCCAUGGGAAAGGAAGGAAAAACCUUCCAUCAAUGUGUGAGAUGGCUCGCGCUCUCCUUGCUUCCUCCAUUUCACAGUUGGAGACACCACGACCAGAGCAUGGUGAAAAUUAAUAAGGAGAGGGGUGCCGAGUCCACCCUGCUGGGGUGUGGGAAGCAGAAGCCCUGACCAUUCAGAGAUGGAUUUACAGAAGCAGGAACUGAAGACAAAGCAGGAGGUCUUCAAAAUAACUCUCAGAGAAGCUUCUUUGAUGAGCUGAGGCAAUUCAGCAACUUCGGCACUGCGCACUCGUGCUCGUAAAUCACCAGUAUUUGCAGGCGUUGCAAGCUGUCUCCCAAUAUGCAGUUAAAAAAAUAUUCUCACUGCAGUAGCACUAAAGAUCUACUGCCAGUUAUUUUGCUUCAGUACCUUGCAUCUUAAGGGACAAUUUGAUUUUUGC
ensembl:lincRNA